rnacentral:rRNA from 1 species
CCUACGGGAGGCAGCAGUGGGGAAUAUUGGACAAUGGGCGAAAGCCUGAUCCAGCCAUGCCGCGUGUGUGAAGAAGGCCUUCGGGUUGUAAAGCACUUUCAGUGGGGAAGAAAGCCUUGGGGCUAAUACCCUCGAGGAAGGACAUCACCCACAGAAGAAGCACCGGCUAACUCCGUGCCAGCAGCCGCGGUAAUACGGAGGGUGCGAGCGUUAAUCGGAAUUACUGGGCGUAAAGCGCGCGUAGGCGGUCUGAUAAGCCGGUUGUGAAAGCCCCGGGCUCAAACUGGGAACGGCAUCCGGAACUGUCAGGCUAGAGUGCAGGAGAGGAAGGUAGAAUUCCCGGUGUAGCGGUGAAAUGCGUAGAGAUCGGGAGGAAUACCAGUGGCGAAGGCGGCCUUCUGGACUGACACUGACGCUGAGGUGCGAAAGCGUGGGUAGCAAACAGGAUUAGAUACCCGAGUAGUC